rnacentral:rRNA from 1 species
UACGUAGGGUGCAAGCGUUGUCCGGAAUUAUUGGGCGUAAAGAGCGUGUAGGCGGCCAGGUAGGUCUGCUGUGAAAACUCGAGGCUCAACCUCGAGACGUCGGCGGAAACCAUCUGGCUAGAGUCCGGAAGAGGAGAGUGGAAUUCCUGGUGUAGCGGUGAAAUGCGCAGAUAUCAGGAAGAACACCCGUGGCGAAGGCGGCUCUCUGGGACGGUACUGACGCUGAGACGCGAAAGCGUGGGGGAGCGAACAGG